GGAGACGUAAAGGCGCCUGGUGGCCCUCCGGUCUUCAAAACCGAGGUGUCCGAGCAACUCGGGCAGGCGGGUUCGAUUCCCGUCCGUCUCCGCCG
rnacentral:tRNA from 1 species